GAUCAACGCUGGCGGCGUGCUUAACACAUGCAAGUCGAACGAAGUUUUUCCUUCGGGAGCAACUUAGUGGCGGACGGGUGAGUAACGCGUGGGUAACCUGCCCUGUACAGGGGGACAACAGCUGGAAACGGCUGCUAAUACCGCAUAAGCACUUAGCACUGCAUGGUGCAUAGGGAAAAGGAGCAAUCCGGUACAGGAUGGACCCGCGUCUGAUUAGCCAGUUGGCAGGGUAACGGCCUACCAAAGCGACGAUCAGUAGCCGACCUGAGAGGAUGUACGGCCACAUUGGGACUGAGACACGGCCCAGACUCCUACGGGAGGCAGCAGUGGGGAAUAUUGCACAAUGGAGGAAACUCUGAUGCAGCGACGCCGCGUGAGUGAAGAAGUAUUUCGGUAUGUAAAGCUCUAUCAGCAGGGAAGAAAAUGACGGUACCUGACUAAGAAGCACCGGCUAAAUACGUG
rnacentral:rRNA from 1 species